rnacentral:tRNA from 1 species
GCCAUGGCUCAGUGGUAGAGCAUCUGGUUGGCAUGUAGAACUUCCCAGUUCAAUCUCUGGUAUCUCCA